rnacentral:RNase_P_RNA from 1 species
AAAGCAGACCAGGCGGUCGCUGGAUUGAAAAAUCCGGAGGAAAGUCCGAACACCACAGGGCAGGACGCUCCAUAACGUGGAGGCACGGUGACGUGACGGAAAGUGCAGCAGAGAGCAGACCGCCCGUUGCUAUGAUGGUAAUUUUUCAUCAACUGAAAUAAUUGCCUUUGGCAGUGACAGAUAAGCGUUACUACAAGGACAAUUUUUUUCAUAAACUGAAUUAAUUGCCUUCGAUAGUGACGGGUAAGGGUGAAACGGUGCGGUAAGAGCGCACCAGUUUUCCAGGUGACUGGAAAAGCUUGGUAAACCCCGUCCGGUGCAAGACCAAAUAGGGAAGUGUUUGAGGGCUGCCCGUCCGAGCUUCCGGGUAGGUCGCAUGAGGUGUGCGGCAACGUACAUCCCAGAUGAAUGGUCGCCGCCCUGAUACAGGGUAACCUUGUCAGGGAACAGAAUUCGGCUUAUGGGCUGCUUUCACC